AUUGAACGCUGGCGGCAUGCUUUACACAUGCAAGUCGAACGGUAACAGGCCGCAAGGUGCUGACGAGUGGCGAACGGGUGAGUAAUGCAUCGGAACGUGCCCAGUCGUGGGGGAUAACGCAGCGAAAGCUGUGCUAAUACCGCAUACGAUCUAUGGAUGAAAGCGGGGGACCGUAAGGCCUCGCGCGAUUGGAGCGGCCGAUGUCAGAUUAGGUAGUUGGUGGGGUAAAGGCCUACCAAGCCGACGAUCUGUAGCUGAUCUGAGAGGACGACCAGCCCCACUGGGACUGAGACACGGCCCAGACUCCUACGGGAGGCAGCAGUGGGGAAUUUUGGACAAUGGGCGCAAGCCUGAUCCAGCAAUGCCGCGUGCAGGAAGAAGGCCUUCGGGUUGUAAACUGCUUUUGUACGGAACGAAACGGCCUGGGUUAAUACCCUGGGCUAAUGACGGUACCGUAAGAAUAAGCACCGGCUAACUACGUGCCAGCAGCCGCCGUAACAC
rnacentral:rRNA from 1 species